GGGCCGAGUGAGGAGGAGGUGCGCCCGGGCUGCGAGCCGGGGCGGAGGAGAGGUGACCCCGAGCCGCGGCGUCGUCGUCGUCUCUCGGCCCGGGCCCCCAGCCGCCGGUGCGAGAAAGAUAAUGUCAAGGUUCAGAGCGGCGUCCUGCUGCACGGAGGCAGAGCGCGCGCUGCCUCGCAACGCAGAAGAUUUCAAGCGUCACAGGAACCCGUGGCCACAGGAAGAAGGCGCUUACAUACCGUAUCAUACCACAGCCGGGGCAGAGGAAUCCAGCUGUGUCCACUGUAAAAACGAAACGUCAGACAGACAAAUGCCUCAAGCAAUGCAGAGUCCGUAUACUAUAGCGCCGUGGCGGUAAUAACCUUUUAAACUUCGAUGUGCUUACGUGACCCAGCGGCGUAUCGCAGGUCCCACUGUCAUGGUUAAGCAAGUAAGUAUAUGCUAUAUAGGUAGCGCGCAACGAACGAAAUGGUAAUCGAAUAAACGUGACUUUUUUGCUCAA
rnacentral:lncRNA from 1 species